rfam:Mustela putorius furo unplaced genomic scaffold scaffold00120, whole genome shotgun sequence.
ACCUGGCUGGUUCAGUUGGUAGAGCAUGCGACUCUUGAUCUCAGGGCUGUGAGUUCGAGCCUCAUGUCAGGUG